rnacentral:lncRNA from 1 species
GGUGCUGGGAGCUGAACUCUAACUCUUAGGGGAGCAGCAAGUAUUCUUAAAUACUGAAAUAUCUUUCUAGCACCAAGUAAUUAACAAACAAACAACAACAACAACAGAUUCUUCAGUGGGGCUUGGAGAGGUGACCCAGCAAUAAAGAGCACACACUCCUCCAGCAGAGGACCUGAAUUUGAUCGCUAGCAUCCACGGAGGUUAGCACCAAUUGCUUGUAAUUUCAGAUCUAAGAAGACCUGAUGCCCUUGGCCUCUGUACUUGUAUGCACAGGACCACACAUAUACAUAUAAAAAUAAAAGAACUCUUAAAGAACAAAAACUCUUGGGAAUUGCUAAGAAAAUUAGGUAAAGGCAGCUGCUACCAGGCCUGUUAAUCUCGAGCUCCAUUCUUGGAUCCCACAUGGUGAAAAGAACUGUCUCCUACAAGUUGUCCUCUGACCUUCAUAUACAGGCACGUGCGCACGCACACAGGCACACGCACUAGCAUAAUCAAAUGGAUGAAUAAAUGAGCAAAGUACGUGUGUACAUAUGGGAUUGGUGAAAGUAAAGCCCAAAUGUAUUUAGGAUAUGGAUAAUAAGAUGCCUCUGUUAAGUGUCCGUCCUAGAUUUCUGUAAUAUUUAAUUAAACUGUAAGUUCUAUAAAAAUUCAUAUUAGGGAAAUAGGCAGCCAUAUUAAACUCAACAGCUGAUAACUGAAGUCUUCAGUAAGAGAUGGCAGUAUGAUAUGAUUACAGUUGAGAUAGACCUGGAAUGUUUACAUUUUGCUUCCUUUAUGUCCUAAAGUCUAAAUGUGGUCUGAACAGAUUAAAAGAUGCUAUUAGAAGUGG